rnacentral:tRNA from 1 species
GGGCGAGUAGCUCAGUCGGUCAGAGCGCACGGUUCACAUCCGUGAGGUCUAGGGUUCGAGCCCCUACCCGCCCA